rnacentral:rRNA from 1 species
AUUGAACGCUGGCGGCAGGCCUAACACAUGCAAGUCGAACGAGUGGCGGACGGGUGAGUUAUGUCUGGGAAACUCCCUGAUGGAGGGGGAUAACUACUGGAAACGGUAGCUAAUACCGCAUUCUAUCAGAUGCGCCUAGCUGGGUUUCGCUUGUGGGUGGGGUAACGGCUCACCAAGGCGACGAUCCCUAGCUGGUCUGAGAGGAUGAACAGCCACACUGGAACUGAGACACGGUCCAGACUCCUACGGGAGGCAGCAGUGGGGAAUAUUGCACAAUGGGCGCAAGCCUGAUGCAGCCAUGCCGCGUGUAUGAAGAAGGCCUUCGGGUUGUAAAGUACUUUCAGCGGGGAGGCGUUACCCGCAGAAGAAGCACCGGCUAACUCCGUACCAGCAGCCGCGGUAAUUC